CGUCAACGGACUCUUGGCUCGCGCUCCGCUUCGCCCCAUAUACCUCCACCCAAAUAGAAGAACCGGUCCGCCGAUUCGGCUUCGCCACCAGCUCCCUGACUCUUCAAUAAACAUCAUUGUUUCUGA